rnacentral:rRNA from 1 species
GAUGAACGCUGGCGGCGUGCCUAAUACAUGCAAGUCGAGCGAACGGACGAGAAGCUUGCUUCUCUGAUGUUAGCGGCGGACGGGUGAGUAACACGUGGAUAACCUACCUAUAAGACUGGGAUAACUUCGGGAAACCGGAGCUAAUACCGGAUGAUAUUUUGAACCGCAUGGUUCAAAAGUGAAAGACGGUCUUGCUGUCACUUAUAGAUGGAUCCGCGCUGCGUUAGCUAGUUGGUAAGGUAACGGCUUACCAAGGCAACGAUGCAUAGCCGACCUGAGAGGGUGAUCGGCCACCCUGGAACUGAGACACGGUCCAGACUCCUACGGGAGGCAGCAGUAGGGAAUCUUCCGCAAUGGGCGAAAGCCUGACGGAGCAACGCCGCGUGAGUGAUGAAGGUCUUCGGAUCGUAAAACUCUGUUAUUAGGGAAGAACAUAUGUGUAAGUAACUGUGCACAUCUUGACGGUACCUAAUCAGAAAGCCACGGCUAACUACGUG